GUCCAAUCCGACCUGAGGAGUCACAGUUGUGAGCAAGUUCGGUGCCGCGGGCUGGGAUUAGAAUUACUUGUUAUUGGUAAAUAGCCACUAUGGAGACUAAGGACCAGAAGAAACAAAGAAAGAAAAAUAGUGGACCCAAAGCUGCAAAGAAAAAGAAGCGGCAUCUGCAGGAUCUCCAGCUAGGAGACGAAGAAGAUGCCUGGAAGAGAAAUCCCAAAGCUUUUGCAUUUCAGUCUGCUGUGUGGAUGGCUCGAUCCUUUCACAGGACUCAGGAUUUGAAGACAAAAAAGCAUCAUAUUCCAGUGGUUGAUCGAACUCCACUAGAGCCCCCACCAAUAGUGGUAGUGGUGAUGGGGCCUCCAAAGUUGGAAAGAGCACUUUGAUACAAUGCCUCAUUCGGAACUUCACCCGGCAGAAGUUGACCGAGAUCAGAGGCCCUGUGAUGAUCGUGUCAGGUAAAAAGCUCCGACUCACCAUUAUUGAAUGUGGGUGUGACAUUAACAUGAUGAUUGAUCUGGCUGAAGUAGCAGAUCUGGUACUGAUGCUUAUAGAUGCCAGCUUUGGGUUUGAAAUGGAAACGUUUGAGUUUCUAAACAUCUGUCAAGUACAUGGCUUUCCUAAAAUUAUGGGAGUUCUCACCCACCUCGACUUCUUCAAACACAAUAAGCAACUGAAGAAGACAAAGAAGCGAUUAAAACACAGGUUCUGGACAGAAGUUUACCUGGUUGCCAAGCUGUUCUGCCUUUCUGGAAUGGUGCAUGGAGAAUAUCAAAACCAAGAAAUGCACAAUCUGGGCCAUUUUAUUACAGUUAUGAAGUUUAGGCCUCUCACAUGGCAGACUUCUCAUCCUUAUAUCCUGGCAGACAGGGUGGAAGAUUUGACAAACCCAGAGGAUAUCCAAACAAACAUCAGAUGUGACCAGCAGAUGUUACUUUACGGUUAUUUAAGAGGAGCGCACUUGAAAAAUAAAAGCCAAAUUCACAUGCCAGGACGAGGUGGGGCCCACCCAUGAGCUGGUCCAGAGUCUCAUCUCCACCCACUCCACCAUUGAUGCCAAGAUGGCUUCAAGUCGAGUGAUGUUGUUUUCUGAUUCCAAGCCACUUGGGUCAGAGGCUAUAGAUAAUCAAGGGGACGAGUUCUCACUAUGUUGCCCAGGCUGGCCUCGAACUCCUGGGCUCAAGCAAUCCUCCUGCGUUGGCCUCCCAAAGUCCUGGGAUUACAGGUGUAAGCCACUACGGCUGGCCUAUUAUUGCUGUAUUCUAACUUAUUCAUCUCCUAUGUGUCAGAGAUGGCUUUGGAUUCCCCGUUCUGUGUGCUGCUGUCUGGCUCCUGAACCCAGCUGUAGAGGUGUGUCAAUCCCAACUGGUGAAGUACUGAGAGGAAGCUACACAAAAGGCAGCAAAGUAUUAGUGAGUGGUGUCAUUGAGCAAACACGAAGUCGGGCUCAUCCAAGGAUGAGAUUUUGCCAGAGAAAGGACGAGCAGCAAGUCAGGGAGCUUAAGGAUGGAGUCUUGCUCUGUUGUCCAGGCAGGAGUGCCAUGGCACGAUCUUGGCUCACUGCAGUCUCUGCCUCUUGAGUUCCAGUAAUUCUCCUGCCUCAGCCUCCUGAGUAGCUGGGAUUACAGGCAUGCACCACCACACCCAGCUAAUUUUUGUAUUUUUAGUAGAGACAGGAUUUCACUACAUUAGCUAGGCUGGUCUCAAACUCCUGACCUCAGUUGAUCCACCUGCCUUGGCCUCCCAAAGUACUAGGGUUACAAGUGUGAGCCACCAUGCCCAGCUGAGAUCUGAUGGUUUUAUACAUGUUUGACAGUUGCUCCUUCACAUGUUGCCACUCUCUGUGCGGCCACCAUGUAAGUCGGACCUGCCCUUCUGCCAUGAUUGUAAGUUUCCUGAGGCCUCCCCAGCCAUGUGAAACUGAGUCAAUUAAACCUCUUCCCUUUAAAAAUUACCCAACCUCAGGUAUUUCUUUAUAUCAGUGUGAAAACAGAUUGCUAUACUUUCUGAUAAUCAUGCUUAAGCAAUUGGGGAAUUCAGACUACCUGGGAUCAAACCAGGGCCCCACCCUUAGCAGUCAUGUGACCUUGGGGAGGUUACUUACCUUCUCCGUCUCAACAACUUCUGUAAAAUCUGUAACAUGAGAUUGUUUCUGAGGGUUAAAUGAGCAUAGCACAGUGGGGACACUGUCAGGCACACACUACUUGCCAGAUGUCAAGUAUUCAUCUUUAUUGAAAUAGGACUGUGGUAAGCCACUUUAUGGCUCUCGAUUCUGUAUGAGAAAAUCAUGCUUAGUGCCUUGUUAGUAAAAGAAAGAAAAUCUGAAAGUCCCUGCCAUGGAAGGAAGAAAUAGCGGGGAGAAAAGGGAGUUGGUAAGUUUCAGCAUUUCAGAGCUUGGAGGGACAAGUUAGGUUUCUAUUUUAUGGAGAAGGAGGUGGAGGCAGGAUGGGUCCUAAGGUGUCAUUCAAAACACACAGCCAUAACUCUUUAUUGAGAGUAGAGCUAGGGCCGCAGGGAUUGCUGUGGUCACGUUGCGGACAAAAAUGACCACUCGUUGGAAGACAGGAGAGGAGUGUUUAGUUACAAAAGCAGUCAACAAUUCAGGUGUAUCUAUAUUCAGUCAGCAAAUAAAAGUUGUUCAACUUGGUUGCUAAUGGGACCCACUCUACUGAGGCUUUGUAUAGAACUCAUAGAGGAAGAUGGCUUCAAGCAAUGAACUACCCUGUGCUUUUCUUAGGACUAAAAUCUCAGGAAGUUGGUGAUGAAUGAAAACCUUAGUCCCACUGGCACUGCACGAGGGGCCAGGAGAGCAGCAGCAUCAUAAGCCACAGGGUGGGGCAGCCAAGGCAGGGGCAUUCUGCGUCAGCCUCGAGUUUGACCAGCAACAGGGGUCGGUGUGUCCCUCUGAAUCUGAGAUCUAUGAGGCAGGAGCUGGGGACAGGAUGGCAGGAGCGCCCAUGGCUGCUGCUGUGCAGCCUGCUGAGGUGACCGUUGAAGUUGGUGAGGACCUCCACAUGCACCACAUUCGUGACCAGGAGAUGCCUGAAGCUUUGGAGUUUAGCCUUUCUGCCAAUCCAGAGGCAAGCACAAUAUUCCAGAGGAACUCUCAAACAGAUGCUUUGGAGUUUAACCCUUCUGCCAAUCCAGAGGCAAGCACAAUAUUCCAGAGGAACUCUCAAACAGAUGUUGUAGAAAUAAGAAGAAGCAACUGUACAAACCAUGUAUCUACUGAGCGUUUCAGUCAACAAUACAGCUCGUGUUCGACAAUAUUCCUUGAUGACAGCACAGCCAGCCAGCAUUAUCUUACAAUGACAAUAAUAUCUGUGACCUUGGAGAUACCUCAUCAUAUCACACAAAGAGAUGCAGAUAGAUCUUUGAGCAUACCUGAUGAACAGUUACACUCAUUUGCGGUUUCCACCGUGCACAUUACGAAGAACAGAAAUGGAGGUGGGAGUUUAAAUAACUAUUCCUCCUCCAUUCCAUCGACUCCCAGCACCAGCCAGGAGGACCCUCAGUUCAGUGUUCCUCCCACUGCCAACACACCCACCCCCGUUUGCAAGCGGUCCAUGCGCUGGUCCAACCUGUUUACAUCUGAGAAAGGGAGUCACCCAGACAAAGAGAGGAAAGCCCCGGAGAAUCAUGCUGAGGCAGGAGAAUGGUGUGAACCCAGGAGGCGGAGCUUGCAAUGAGCUGAGAUUGCACCACUGCACUCCAGCCUGGGCAACCAAGCGAGACUCCAUCUCAAAAAAAAAAAAAAAAUUAGCUGGGCAUGGUGGCGGGCACCUGUAGUCCCAGCUACUUGGGAGGCUGAGGCAGGAGAAUGGCAUGAACUCAGGAGGCAAAGCUUGCAGUGAGCAGAGACUGUGCCACUGCACUCCAGCCUGGGCAACAGAGCGAGACUCUGUCUCAAAAAAAAAAAAGAAAAGAAAAAGAGGGUUACAGAUCAUUGCACAUGGAAAAUAUUCCCAGCAGUAAACACUUCCAUUAAUGUGAUCUACAGCUUUUAAAAAGGAGCAUCUCAGAAUAAGAUGGUGGUACAAUUUGCUUAUUGAGAAAGGAAAAAAAAAACACACGAGUAUAUUACAAAGGGAAAAGAAGGAAUGUGAUUUCUCAUGAUUGAAAGCUUGAUUUAGAUUGCAUACAGCUUUUGCUACCCAAGACCAAGCGGCUCUGGCAAGACAGGGUGGUUUUCCGAAUGCCAGACCGAGGUGCCUUAUGAAGGCAGCUGCCGAUGGUUCCAGAUGUAGAGAGAUAGGUGAUGCAGGAGGGAAAGCUGGAUUGGAAAAGGGAGAGUUUUGUAGACCGGCUACACUCAUUGUGCCUUUGAAAGAGCAGAGCCGGCAGCCUCUAGUCAUCAUUUGGAUAUACAGGACUGGAGCAUGAAUCUGAUGUAGAGCUACAGAAUGAAGAGCAACAGCAGCUGUUUAAAUACCGAGAAAGUGUGUAGAAUGAAAUUGGACAAGCCAAGCAUGGUGGUUUCAUGCCUUUAGUCCUAGCUACUUCGGAGGCUGAGGUGGGGGAAUUACUUGAGCUCAGCAGUUUGAGUCCAGCCUGGGCCAGAUGUUGAGACCCUGUAUCUUAAGAAAAGAAAAAAAUAAGACCAGGUACAGUAUCUCAUGCCUGUAAUCCCAGCACUUUGGGAGGCCAAGUUGAGAGGACUGCUCGAGUGUAGGAGUUCAAGACCAGACUGGGCAAUAAAGUGAGACCCAUUUCUUUUUUUUUUUUUUUUAACUUCUUAAAUGCACAAAUUUAUUUUUUCUCAACAAACACACAUCUUAAUGCCUUUACAACUUUUAUCUCCCCAAAUAUAUCUUGCUUUUCUUUAUAUGUGCUGUAUACAGAGUUGUUUUCCUUAUAUUUAGUAGUUAUUGCUUUUUUGUGCCCUUUUGCGUCCUGAAUUUACACAUCAGGCAUAGAUCUUGGGACAGGAAAGAGCUGUGAAGCAAAUUCCUGGAAAAUCAAACCCCUUCCAGCAUGGCCAGGUAGCACAGCUGAGCCAGGGAUGAUGGGGCCAUAUUGGGUUUGGCUCUGCCUUGCAGCUGGCAGUCCAAACACUGAGGACAUGCAUAUUUCUGCAGGCCAGUGAGACCCAUUUCUACCAAAAAAAAAAAAAAAAAAUCAAGAAAUUAGCUGGACAUGGUGGCACAUGCCUGUGGCCCCAGUUACAUGGCAUGGCAGGCUGAGGCAGGAAGAUCACUUGAGCCCAGGAGGUGGAGGCUGCAGUGACCCAUAUACAUGCCACUGCACUCCAGCCUGGGCAACAGAGUGAGACCCUCUCUCAAAAACAGAUAAAGUGGACAGAAAAUAGGUUGGUAAGGACUAAUCAUUUAAGGGACAAGCCCCCAGAAGAGUGGCUACUAGAGUGGGAGGAGGAAAAGCAGAAGGAGAAAGAGUUGAAGACAGGCGAGGCUGUGGUCCCAGUGCUGAAUUCUGCCAAGCAGUGACUUGAUUCAUGAACACUCACUGGAUGCUGACUCUGUUGCUCUUCUGAGUGCUGGGGUAGAGGAGAGGAGAGGUGGAGCCCAGUUCUUGCUUUUAGGAGCUUAUGUUCUAGGAAGUUCAAGUAUUUUUUCAGGUAGUAUGAAAUAGCAGGAAGAGGAAGCAGGCUAAAGGGACACAGAGUGAUUGGGGGCUAUUUUAAGUAGAAUGAUAAGGAAGAGCCUGUCUAGAGAGCUAUUUGAACAAUGACCUGACUGAAGGGACAACAGAAAGCAGUGCUGACAUUACAGGUAGCAGGAUGACUGCCAAGACAGAAACGCAUUUCAUAUGUGUUUGAGGAACAAACAGCAAGGUGACCAGCAUGGGGAGAGUGAAGAAUGAGGGAAACCUUGAAUGAGAGUAAAGCAAUUCCAUCUUGGAGGCUAAUCUGCCAUAUUCUGAUUAAUCCCAGUUCCAAGAAUUCAUCUACAAUUUCUAUUUUAUCUUUUUAAAAAUAUUAUUUUUUAUUUUUUAUUUUUUGAGACAGUCUCACUCUGUCUCCCAGGUUGGACUGCAGUGGCACAAUCUCAGCUCACUGCAAACUUCACCUCCUGGGUUCAAGCGAUUCUCCUGCCUCAGCUUCCCGAGUAACUGGGAUUACAGGCGCCUGCCACCAUGCCUGGCUAAUUUUUGUAUUUUUAGUACAGAUGAGGUUUUACCAUGUUGGCCAGGCUGGUCUGGAACUCCUGACCUCAGGUGAUCCGCCCACCUUGGCCUCCCAAAGAGCUGGGAUUACAGGCGUGAGCCACCGUGUCUGGCCAUACACAUCCCUGCCGAAGCCCGCAUUACCCUUCCCCUAUGCUAUAGAAGCCCUGGGUCGGGGGGGUGGGGGUAAUGGCACAGGGAUCCACCAUCUUAUCUUGGUGCCAUCCCUGACUUGGCUUCUGUUCAUAAACGCCUAUUAAAUGUUUCUUUCUGAGAAACUGGAUUUGUCAGCCUCUUUCUUUGGUAUCUCAGGUUCCUUGGCCUUUGCGGGUAGGUUUAUAUAGACCUGCUCAGCACAGGACAGGCAGUUUCUCAAAAAAUUAAAAAUAGAAUUACCAAAUGAUCCAGCAAUAUCACUUCUGGGUAUAUAGCCAAAAUAAUUGAAAGCAAGGUCUCAUAGAAAUAUUUGUACACUGAUAUUUAUAGCAGUGGUAUUCACACUCAUCAAAAGAUGGAUGCAGCCUAAUUGUCCAUAGGCAGAUGAAUUGAUAAAAUGUGGUAUAUACAUACAAUAAAAUAUUCUUCAGCCUUAAAAAGGAAGGAAAUUCUAACACAUGCUACAACAUGGAUGAACAUUGAGGACAUUAUGCUAAGUGAAAUAAGCCAGUUAGAAAAAGACAAAUACUGUGUUCUUUCACUUAUGUGAAGCAUCCAGACUGAGUAAGCAAACUAAUAGAAACAGAAAGUAGAACGGGGGUUGCCAGGGACAUGGGGAAGGGAGAAAAUGGGAAGUUGCUUAGUGGAUAUAGAGUUUUGGUUUUGUCAGAUGAAAAAGUUCUGGAGAUUGGUUGCAUGGCAAUGUGAAUAUACUCUACAUUACCCAACCCAAGGGCUCUCCUUAACCCCUGUUCCGACUGCCACUUAGAAGUGGUUAAGGUAGUAAAUUUUAUGCAUAUUUUACCACAAUUCAAAAUAGAAUUAUUAUUUUUUUAUUAUAAUUUUUUGAGAUCCCUCACUCUGCUGCCCAGGCUGGAGUGCAAUGGCACCGUCUCGGCUCACUGCAACCUCUGCCUUCUGGGUUCAAGCGAUUCUCCUGCCUCAGCCUCUCAAGUAGCUGGAACUUACAGGCACAUGCCACCAUGCCCAACUAAUUUUUGUAAGUUUAGUAGAGACGGGGUUUCACCAUGUUCGCCAGGCUGGUCUUGAACUCCUGACUUCAGGUGAUCCACCUGCCUUGGCCUCCCAAAGUGCUGGGAUUACAGGUGUGAGCCACCAUGCCCGGCUGUCAAAUAGGUGUUUUGUUUUUUUGUUUUUUUUUUUUUUUUGAGAUGGAGGUUUGCUUUUGUUGGCCAGGCUGGAGUGCAAUGGCAGGAUCUCGGCUCACGGCAACCUCCACCUCCCGUGUUCAAGCAAUUCUACUGCCUCAGCCUCCCGAGUAGCUGGGAUUACAGGCAUGCACCACCAUGCCCAGCUAAUUUUGUAUUUUAUUUUAGUAUAGAUGGGGUUUCUCCAUGUUGGUCAGGCUGGUCUCCAACUCCUGACCUCAGGUGAUCCACCCACCUUGGCCUCCCAAAGUGCUGGGAUUACAGGUAUGAGCCAUUGCGCCUGGCCUUUUUUUUUUUUUUUUUUUUUUGUGAUGGACUUUUGCUCUUCUUAUCCAGGCUGGAGCGCAAUGGCACGAUCUCAGCUCACUGCAGCCUCUCCUCCCAGGUUCAAGUGAUUCUCUUUCCUCAGCCUCCUGAGUAGCUGGGAUUACAGGCAUGCACCACCAUGCCUGGCUAAUUUUGUAUUUUUAGUACGUAUGGGGUUUCUCCAUGUUGAUCAAGCUGGUUUUCAACUCCUGACCUCAGGUGAUCCACCCGCCUCGGCUUCCCAAAGUGCUAGGAUUACAGGCGUGAGCCACUGCGCCUGGCCUGAAAAAAAUUUUAAAGUUUGAGAAAAUACAAAAUUUUCAUAGUCUCCAAGUAUUUCUCCUAAGAUCUUUCCCCCUAUGAGGGGGAAAGAUAGUAACUUUACAAUGGAGAAACCCAGCAGAAACCUGAACCAAAUGAACAAGUUCAACAUCAUCAGUAAGAAGAACUAUCAAUGCCAUAACUCUGAUGGAAUGCACUGGGAAGGAUUCCACAUCAUUUUUGUGCUGUAAUUGCCAAAAGUGUGUAACUUCAGUCCAAUCAUGGAAAUACAUCAGACAAACCCAAAUCGAGGAACAUUUGACAAAUAGUGAUCAGUACUGGUUCAAGAUGUCACGGUUAUGAAAGAUAAGGAAAGAUUGAGGAACUGUUAUUGCAGUCCUACAAAAUGGCGAGAGACUAAGAAAUAACUAAAUGCAGCGUGAUCCUGGGUGGAAUUUGGGAACAGAAAAAGGACAUUAGUGGAAAAAGUGGUGAAACUCCAAUAAGGUCUUUUGUUUAGC
rnacentral:lncRNA from 1 species